GCGUCUCCCGCUUCACAACGGAUCGUCCGGCACGUACCUGCCGGUGAAGGGAAUCGGUC
rfam:Brachybacterium nesterenkovii strain CIP104813 genome assembly, contig: Scaffold4